rnacentral:rRNA from 1 species
GUUUCCGUAGGUGAACCUGCGGAAGGAUCAUUAUCGAGUUUUGACUGGGUUGUAGCUGGCCUUCCGAGGCAUGUGCACGCCCUGCUCAUCCACUCUACACCUGUGCACUUACUGUGGGUUUCAGAUGNCNUUAGCGGGCCUUCGNGGGCUCGUGAAAGCGUCUGGGCCUGCGUUUAUUACAAACUCUUAUCAGUAUCAGAAUGUGUAUUGCGAUGUAACGCAUCUAUAUACAACUUUCAGCAACGGAUCUCUUGGCUCUCGCAUCGAUGAAGAACGCAGCGAAAUGCGAUAAGUAAUGUGAAUUGCAGAAUUCAGUGAAUCAUCGAAUCUUUGAACGCACCUUGCGCUCCUUGGUAUUCCGAGGAGCAUGCCUGUUUGAGUGUCAUGAAAUCUUCAACCNAUAAACCUUUGCGGGUUUAUNAGGCUUGGACUUGGAGGCUUGUCGGCYCAGCUGGUGUCGGCUCCUCUCAAAUGCAUUAGCUUGAUUCCUUGCGGAUCGGCUCUCGGUGUGAUAAUUGUCUACGCCGCGACCGUGAAGCGUUUGGCGAGCUUCUAACCGUCUCGCAUGAGACAAUUCAUUGACCUCUGACCUCAAAUCAGGUAGGACUACCCGCUGAACUUAAGCAUAUCAAUAAGCGGAGGAAAAGAAACUAACAAGGAUUCCCCUAGUAACUGCGAGUGAAGCGGGAAAAGCUCAAAUUUAAAAUCUGGCGGUCUUUGGCCGUCCGAGUUGUAGUCUGGAGAAGUGCU